ensembl:lncRNA
CUUCAUUAACGGCUGCAGUUGCAUCAUUGUUUCCUUUAUUUGUUAUCUCUGUAAAGCCAAUGAUUCAGUAACAGGCUAUAUUUAGGUGUUUUCUUCCUUACAAAUAUGUGGUCUUUAAUAGUGAUGGAUUAAGUAGGCCGUAUGUAAAGUAUUUUUAUAAAUAUUAGCGUUUAUUUGUGGGUUUUCUAUUGCAAAUUAUCUUAUCUCAAGGUCGUGCUUUGCAUCCGGUUUGUGUUGGACAUCGGUUUCUAAAUAGACAGACAAGGUCCUACCUUCAAGACAUAUUUUCAGUUCAAGUACAAAGCUGAAGGCAGCAGCGUCAGAACCUGACGACUACAGGGAGCCAGCUCAGAUCUGGGUCAUGCUGCCACCAGCACAAACCAGGAACAUACUGGAGCUUUUACACAUCUUCAUCUCCACCAAGGCUCCCAUGGAGGCAUAGAGAAACCUGAAGCCAAGAGGCACGGAGCUGCAUCCUAGCACCUGUCAUUCACACCCACAUUGGUUCAUGUUCUGUUUUCAACCUCUCUCUCAUAUUCUCUCCUCUCAUCAUGCCUCUCUAUAUCUGCCAUUAGCUGUUACUCUACCAUAUAAUAUGCACAUGUACUGUAUACCUUACUUACCAUAUAGUAGACAGCGUGUGCUGUUCACACUGCAGAGUUUCUGUGUGUAUCUCAGGCAGCCACUGCAGUGACAAGGGCACUGGAUCAACCUUUGACAAUAACAAAGACAUUUCCAAAUACAAUACAAUUGCAAUAGUGAGAAAAAAAACUACACGUAUCCAUUAAAACAAUACGCUUGAAUUCUCAUCACUAACAUUCAGCGACAAUUAAUUUGACCAUUGUCGGGUUAUAGAAUAGUCAUGCCAAGGGUUCUUCUACAACAUUCAAAGGACAUGUUUAUUUGGAUUAGGCCUAGAGAAGAAUAGAGUGGUGAGAUAGAUGUGGUUGAUUUAGAUAAUGUCUCCAUUCUUCUUUGUUGGGAAUUGUUUGGACCAGAGCCUGCAUUACAGUUAUUGAUGAGGAGAUUCAGAUAGGCAGGCUGGAGGACACAAGGCUUUUGUUUUGAGUAGAGUAGAGGUGCAAUCAGCAUGCAGUUAGUGAAGAAAGGUGAAGCUACAAUAAAUACGUAUAGAUGGAUAUUUUAAACAUAUAUUGAGAUUGAUUAGAAUAUGAAGUGUUCAAAUCAAGUGAGUUGAUCAUAGUUGUUCAUUUCCAUCAUCAACAACUAGCCUACUCUCAGUAUUAAAAUACCUGAGUAGGAAUUUAGAUAUCGGCCAACACUUGGGUAAUGUAAAGCUCAGAAUAGACAUCAAUAGGAUGCGGUUUUGGUUAAGGACGAGAUUAUCAGAAUAGCGACUGGUGGGCCGUAUGUCACUGGGUUGACCAGUGGAAAUUCUAAAUUGUCUGGUGACACACUUGAAUGGAGAGUUUUGUCCGGUCGUGGGAAAAGCUCGCUUGGUCGUUUCACAAAUCCAGCGUAUAGCCUCCUCCUACUGAAUCAAACCAAUUAGCCAGGAGCGCGCUCCAGCCAUUGAGAGCCACUGUAGGCUCUGAGAGGAGUUGUUGGUUGAAUGAAAAUGCAUCCCCGGAUUUGGUUCUCCAAGAGAAGCUAUAGAAGUUGCCUUUUGAAGGACGGCUAUAGCACCGUGAAGGGCCAGGCAGAAAGUCCAAAUUGAGACACUUGAAUCAUUUGGGCGAUUAGGUGUGCACACAAUGCGUAAAAGUAUUGUGUGACUCACAUGGGAGGUAUAAUGCAUUUAAAAUCUACAAAAACCAUGAAUAUCUUAAGUGUUCUUCCUUUCUAGGUAACACAACUCAAUGUGAGAACACAACUACAUGUUUUUAUUCCUGAAAUGAUGCGUUUAUGUAAUGACAUGGAUCUCUUGACUUAAUAUCGACUGAAAGAUAUCAUUAGCCUACGCUUAUUCAGAAUAUCAGUGCAAGGGGUAGGCAAAGCCUACAUAGCUCAUCUUUUUCAUAGGCGUUGGACUACAGUAGGCCUAAAUACGUCAUAAGGGCUAAUAAGGGCUUGCUGUCCCCAGUCCACCUGGCCAUGCUGCUGCUCCAGUUUCAACUUCCACCUGACUGUGCUGCUGCUCCAGUUUCAACUGUUCUGCCUUAUUAUUAUUCGACCAUGCUGGUCAUUUAUGAACAUUUGAACAUCUUGGCCAUGUUCUGUUAUAAUCUCCACCCGGCACAGCCAGAAGAGGACUGGCCACCCCACAUAGCCUGGUUCCUCUCUAGGUUUCUUCCUAGGUUUUGGCCUUUCUAGGGAGUUUUUCCUAGCCACCGUGCUUCUACACCUGCAUUGCUUGCUGUUUGGGGUUUUAGGCUGGGUUUCUGUACAGCACUUUGAGAUAUCAGCUGAUGUACGAAGGGCUAUAUAAAUAAAAAAUAAAAAAAAUAAAAAAAAUAAUAGCGGCCAUUUUCUGGAAAAUGUAAACCUUUCCACCUUUUUAAGAAUGAUAUCAAUAUGAGCUACAAAUCUUAAUCCAUUUCAUUAAACCUUAAUUCAAUAUGUGUUUGCGUGUAUGUAAACCUGAUUUAUGCAGUGAGAACUAUAAGGAAUACAGCCUCAACUGUGGAUACUUUUAUGCAACAAAGCUUUAUUCAUAUUCAGGCCUGAAUACCAAUUGUUACAGUUCACGCAUAUGACUGGAUUAAGUUAUGUAUUCCUCUGAACGGAAUAAAGGCUUUUUCUGAAGUAUUUUUCGUUUUAGAAGAUGUUUUAGGCAAAAACACUCCAGAUGCUUUGCGUGAUGGAAUAAAUAAAUAUAUAAAGAGCAUUCUUGCUCCAAGCAUACUAAACAAAAGUGGGACAAAUAUACACUUCAAUUCACAGCAUGAUUGUAGAAAAUGUUGUCUUUUCAUUUAAUGCUAUAAAGAUGAUCCUACUUAUAUUUUGAGAAUAUCUUCUCUAACUUAAGUAAGAAAACGUAUUAAAAAUCAUUUCGGGUUGUAGCAGGUUUUGAGGAAUUCAGAAGUGUUUCAACAGAUGUCUAUAAUAAGUGAUUAGGGAAAAUUG